CGCUCUGUCCUCCCCCUGCGGUGUCCGGGCACCACACGCCUGGACCCAGACGUGGACAAAAACGGAGCCAAUGGGCUUUCAGACCGGGAUAUUACCUCACCAGAACCAGCUGCCAUUGGCCGGCGCCCCCGCCGGGACGGGCUGUUGCUAUGACAGCUCAGGCCGGCUGUGCAGAGGGACGCUCGCAGCAAGCUCCGGGAGGGAAAGCCGCGUCCACACCUCUUUCCAGGAUUAUGGGAGGAAAAGUUGCCUAUCUGUUGGGUCAGAUUUCUGAAGACUGAUGAGGCCCAUUUUCUGACAAAUGGCAAGAGUUUAGAAAGUGCCAGUGACGUGCCUGAUAGAAUCUCACCACAAGAUGGACACCAACCCAUCAGAAGCCUGGAAAACCCACCCAGCAUGAGACCUCUGUGGGUCCAGGAUCUUGGAAUGGCAUCCCAUGGCUUAAUCUUCCUAAUUCAACCAAAUAAAGUUGCCCCACCCAUGUCAUGUACCCAAGCUUCCUACCAAGUCUCCUUAGCUUAAAUGCAAGAUUAGUACUAUUUUGUUCGUCUUGAUUGGAGUGAGAAAUGAAUAGGUCCAUGCACAUAUAUUUCUUUUACCACAACAAGAUGAUGAAGAAAUAAAUCCAUAAUAUUGAUACUUUUGUAUAAGCUGUGUUUACAGUUGCAGUAAGAAAUUUUAUAAUCUUUGAUUUGCUUUAUAUAGUUUCUGCUUGCUUUUUAUGAUAUUUAAAACAAAAUCUAAGCAACAAAUUUUAUGUCUGAUUAGAUUUACAGAAGCUGCUUAAGUGCUUAGGGAUAAUUUGUUCAUCAUAUUUGUAAGUCUCCCUUGUUAGGUGUUUGAAGUGUUUGAAUUGGCUAAAUUAAAUUCAUAAUUAUAGUUGAAAUAUCUAAAGGAAUUUUCUUAAUUAAAUGUUUAAAUGAUGUUAAAAGUUUAUGAGAAUUUAAUCUAUCAAAUUUAUGAGUUAAUUGAAUAUGAAUCAAUGAACAAGUAAAUGUGGUCUUGCUUUUAUAUAAAAACUACUAAGUUCAUAAAUAAAAUACAAAGAUCCAUAAGUUGAGAGGAAAAGCAAAAGCAAGAGCGAGCUUCUAAGAUCUAUAACUUAAAAAAAUUAAAUAUUGAUUGAAAUGUAAGUCAUUGUAAUUAUCCCCACUAGCUGAAAUCUCACAUCUGAAUGCUUACACGCAAAACAAAAUGUUACCCUGAACAUACUAAACAAAUAAAAAACCAUGU
rnacentral:lncRNA from 1 species